GAAUUAAUAACUUAAUUGGUAAAGGACUUCCCUGUCACGGAAGUAGAUAUCGGUUCGACUCCGUUUUAAUUCG
rfam:Sporothrix insectorum RCEF 264 scaffold_37, whole genome shotgun sequence.